GUAGGUGGCAAGCGAUACUCGGAAUCACUAGGUGUAAAGCGCAGGUAGGAGGUUGGAUAAGUCUCUUGUGAAAGCUCCCGGCUUAACUGGGAGAGGUCAAGGGAAACUGUUCAGCUAGAGUGUGGUAGAGGAAGAUGGAAUUCCCGGUGUAGCGGUGAAAUGCGUAGAUAUCGGGAGGAAUACCUAUGGCGAAAGCAGUCUUCUGGACCAUCACUGACUCUGAUCUGCGAAAGCUAGGGGAGCAAACAGGAUUAGAUACCCUGGUAGUCCUAGCCCUAAACGAUGCUCAUUAGGUGCGGGAGGUAUCGACCCCUUCCGCGCCGUARMWRACGCAUUAAAUGAGCCGCCUGGGGAGUACGGCC
rnacentral:rRNA from 1 species